AGUCGGGAGCGGGAGUUUGCGCGCGGGGUCGAUCCCAACGCGAGGAAAGUCCGGACUCCACCGGAAACGAUGCCGGGUAACACCCGGGACCGCCUCGCGCAAGCGAUGCGGGACGGAAAGUGUCACAGAGAAUAGGUUACCUCGGGCAACUGCGGUACAAGUGAAACGGCGGUGUAAAAGACCACCACGGGGCCGGCGACGGUCUCGAACGACAAACCCCAUCGGGAGCAAAAUCAAAAGUUUUCACAGGCUGCCUUCGGGCGGCCGGCAUCCGGCACGCGAAAACAGGUAGAUUGCUCGAGCGAAGCGGCAACGCCUCGCCCAGAGAAAUAAACUUCUGAACAGAAUCCGGCUUACGACUCUCGGCUGGUU
rnacentral:RNase_P_RNA from 1 species